AAGAUUUCUUCAUGAGACCAGACUCAACUGGUUCAUCAGAUAAAGCUCCAGAGCACCGGAGGGUUAGCCAGAAAUGAAUCCCCUACUUACCAUUCAGCCCUCCGUCACACGGAAUGAUGGGAAUCAACUCCAUCAAAGCUUAGAAAUAAUUGAACCUGCUCGAUGACACAAGCACACAUAGGGCUUCAGUUUCAUCAAGGGCUCAAGUGUGCUGCUUCGUGAGAGUGCCGAAAUGAACCGGCUCCUUAUGCAGAAAGACCUGGGACCGUAUUUCGGCCCAGCUAGCGUCUAGCUGUAUGACUUUAGGUAACUUGCUAAAGUGUUCCUGUUCUGUAAAGUGGAGGUGAGGUUCCUAUCCACCUCACAGCAGUCCAGACAUUUUAAGAUAGUGUUUUUAGAUAUCUGGGCAUGCAUGUGCUAAAUGAAUACCAGGCAAUGAUGUCUUCUAAGUGAGGGACUCUUUAGUUUUAGAAGAAGAAAAUUAUAAGAGGAGGUUGGUGCACAGUGUUUUUUUUUGGUUUUGUUUUUUUUUUUUUUUUUUUCUUGAGACAGGGUCUCACUAUGUAGCCCCCUGGUUGGGCAGGAACUGCUAUGUAUGCCAGGUUGGGCCUUGAACUCACAGAGACCUACCUGCCUCUGAUUCCCAAGUGUUGUACACUGUCUUGAUACCUUAAUAUGUAGGCAAGAAAUCAUGAUGAUGUAAAAUGUUAAGUCCUGCUUUAUUAAAGUUGUGAGAGAAAUCUAACAUUACAGCUACUGUUUCUCCUCCCUUUCACUCCCCUCCUACCUCUUUACCCUCCUGCUCCCUCCCCUCCUCACGCUCUUUCUCUAAGGUCUCAGCAGCUGAGGUCUCUCUAAGGUCUAUGCAGCCCAGGCUGACUUCAAACUCAAGACUUUCCUACUUCUACCUGGAAUGCCUGGCUUCCAUUCUUUAUGAUUGCCUUUUUCAGGGUUGAAGAUUAAACCCCAGGAGCCUCAAGCAUUCAGGGAAGCUCUCUCCUGCUAAACUUUGUAUCUCAAGCUCUUCAAACCAAUCCUGAAGUCAUGACUCCUGUUGAAAACAUUUGCUCAGGCUCAGAAUAACUUCUGGGUGCUGUCAUAACGGUGAGUUUCUCAUAAACUUUAGAAGCUAAGAAUGAAAAAUGUUUGUACAGUUUUAAGUUUUAUAUAUAAUUCCUGCUGGGAGUCAACUGCAUUAUUUAUUGGCCCAUUUGUAUUCCGAUAGAACAUAUGACUGCUAAUAUUUUCACCAAUCACGUUCUCUACCAUUUUUGUAGCAAAACAAAUGGUUUCUAUACUGCAUUACUCACUGAGAUCGGGGGUGGGGGUGGGCUCAAAGUCCGAAGAUUAAUUUCUGUGACUUAUAGGUGGCAGUAGUAAGGCCUUAGAACUUUGUUCUGUUCUGUUUUUUUAAUGCCGUUGUUUUGUUAUUUUGUAUGUGUGUGUGUAUUUGUUUGUUUAUUUACUUCUUUAUUUAGACAAGAUUUACUCUAUAGCCCAGACUGGACUAGAAAUCACUCUGUUUCCCAGCCUAGCCUUGAACUUGGGACAAUUCUCCUGAGUAAACUAGGAUGACAGGUAUGAGACACUAGAAUGUGUUGAAGACUGCCAGUUGAUUCCAGUGAAUAGUAAUGUUUGAGCAAAAUGAAUUAACAUUUAAACAAUUAUUCAAGUCCACACCUACAAAUCAGGAAGUUCUCAGUUCCCCUGGAAUCAAUAGAAAUGGUUUUAGAAUGGCAAGGUCAUUGAUCAAUGGAAUAGAAUCGAGGACCCACAUAAAAACCCAGCUUCCUACUGACACCUGAAUUUUGAUAAAGGUGCAAAAAAUACACAUUUGAGAAAAGACAUCAUCUUCAAAAAAUGUUGCUAGCCAAACUGGAUAGCUAUGUGUAGAGAAAUAAAAUUGGAUCCUUAUCUCUGAUCAUGAAAAAAAAAAAAAUUCAGUUCCAAAUGAAUGAAGAACCUCAACAUAAGAUCUGAUACCAUGAAUCUCAAAGAGGUCAUUGGCACAGGAAAGUACUUUCUGAAUUGAAUACCAGAAGUGAAGACAUUAAGGACCAAAAUUGAUAACUAGGACCCCACAAGGCUAAAAAGCCAUGACAAAGAAUCUGCUCAUUUGAGGCAAUCCACAGAAUAGGAAAAAUCUUUGCCAGCUACACAGAGGAUUAGUAUCUAGAGUAUACAAAGAACUCAAAACAACAACAAAAACCAAAAACCCAUAACUCAGUGACACACAAAUAACUUAAUUAAAAAGUGAACAUUGGAACUAAACAGAGAGUUCUCAAAGAUGAAAUAUAAAUCUAGAUAAGAACUUUUUUUUUUAAUGUUCAACAUGCUUAGCCAUCAGGAAUAGAAUAAUCGAACCGGAAAGAUUCCAAGAGGCAGAGGUAUUUGAUGACUUCAUUUGAAAUUGUGCUUUCUGGACAUGAGAGUUCAUACUCACAUGAAUUUAUAGAGCCUCUGAUUGUAUGCAUAAAACCUGCACAAUAUUAUUCCCAGCAAAGUCCAAGCAUGGGUAGGAGAAGGAGUCCCAAAGUCCUGCCUUCUGCUGAGGAACUAUUAGCAAUUGGUGGCUGCUGAGAAAGAGAUAGCUUUCUUCACAGGCAUAGCCUCCGUGAGGCUAUGUAGGCUCAAACUGAUGGUCCUACACCCACGGACAUAGAGGCAGAAGGUUUUUAUAAAAGGUCACUGUGUUAAAAAAAAAAAAAAGCACAUGAACUUGGGAGAGAUUAGUAGUAGUGGCAGUAUGGAUAAGGAGGAAUUGGAGGGGCGAGUAUAGAGAAUUGUAGAUAGAUUUAAUAAACUUUUUAAAAAUAUAGAGAGACAUUAUAGAGCAGUGGUGUCGAGUGUAAUCCUGUCUCUCAUUAGGUUAGGGCAUGAGGACUACAAUAUAUAAACAUUACAUAAAAGCUAAAAAACAGGUAAAAAAAAGUGCUUUGGAAGAUGUAUUUGUCUAUUAUACAUAGUUUCAUAUGCACAUAUACCUAUUAUACUAUACAUUAUUUAACAUAUAAAUAUUGCUUAGGGGACCAGCAAGAUAAUCUCAGCAGUCAAAGAGAAUUGCUAAGAAGCUGGAGGACAGACCCUCCGUCCUUAGAACAUGGUGGAAGGAGUGGAGAGAUACCCCAAAUUUGCCCUCUGACCUGCAUUCACACAUACAUCCACCACACACACACCACACAUGUAAGUAAAUACACAAAGAAAGAAAGGUUUUUCCAAAUUAAGGAAAUCCUGCUUAGCGUUAUAUUUAGUAGAAAAAAAAAAAUCUUUAAAGCCAAUGAAAACAUUUCGACAGGCUUCUGUCUCUUGUGGACUAGUGUUACCAACUGAAAAGCUGCCCCUUGUCUGGCAGAUCUUCAAAAAAGAAGACGUUUGGGAACGGCAUAUCUUUUCCAAAGGGUUUAAUAUUAAUGUUCCUAUCAAGCAUAUUCUCAGGAAUAUGCUAAGUCUUCUAAAUCUUACAUGUCCUGAUUUGCAAUCCUAUCCAACAUCUACCUCAUUGUGGAAGAAUUGUUGGGAGUAUUACAAAGUUUUCUUUGAAAAUCUGAAAAAGUUAUGUAGGGUCUUGCUGUGUAACUCUUGUUAACCUGAACGAGUGUAGACCUGGUAUAACUCAAAAGCAGGAUUAUUAUCCUGUUGCUUCUGCCUCCCAAAAGUUUUUCUUUGAAAAAAGGCAGAUUUUCAAAGGGCAAGGACAUGGCUUAGCAGAUAAAAGUGCUUUGUAGAAAGCCUUGUGUGGUGGUUUAGAUGAGAAAUGCCCCCUACAGUUUUAGGCAUUUGAAUAGUUGGUCCCCAGUUGGUGGCAUUGUUUGGGUAGGUUUGGAAGGUGUGGCCUUCCUGGAAGAGGUGAGCCACUGGGGGCAAACUUGGAGGUUUUAAAGCCUCUAGCCAUUUCCACUUUGUUCUCUCUGCUUCCUGUUUGUGUUUCAAGAUGUGAGCUCUUACUUACUGUUUCAGCUAUACCUACCGUCCUACCUUACAAUCAUGAGGUCUGGAACCGUAAGCACAAAUAAACCCUUUCGUCAGGUACCAAGGUCAUGGUAUUUUAUCAGAGCAACAGAAAAGUAACUAAUACACCUGACUACCUGAGUUUUACUCUCAGAACUCAUGGUGGGAGGGAAAAAAAUGACUCUCAGAAAGCUGUCCUAUGACCUCAGACAUGGCUGCACCUGUACACACAUCACCUAUCUGUCUGUCUGUCUGUCUGUGUCUUUCUCUCUCACAAACACAAAUAGAUAGAUAGAUAGAUAGAUAGAUAGAUAGAUAGAUAGACAGACAGAUAAAUGUGAUGAAAAGCUAGUCUUCAUUGUUCAUGUUUAUUCUGUACAUCUACUUUAUACUAAUAUCACCCCAUUCCUUAGCAUUCACGUGAUUGGUUAUAUAUUUUUUAUAGUAUUUUUGCUUUAGGUAUUUUGAAAUAUAAGUAAUUAUACUUGAAAAUUAUUGUAGCACUAAUUAUCCCUUAAAUUAUCUUCACACAGCUGCUCUCAGAUAGGCUAUAUUGUUCAAUACGGAUUAUCUUAAGGAGGCUGGGGAUGUAGUUCAGUGGCAGAAGAUGCCUCGUGUGAGUAAGGCUCUUGGUUCUGUUUUCAGAACCUAAAUAAGUAGUUUUAAGGCUACAAAUUUUAAUUCAUUACCCAGUAAGAGAGAGAGAGAGAGAGAUUGUGUGUGUGACAUUUUUGAGACAGCGUCUCCCUACAUCAUUCUUGCUAACCUGAAAUGUCUGGUGUAGACCUGGUAGGACUCGAACACAGGAUUAUUACCCUGUUGCUUCUGCCCCCCCCAACUGCUGUGGUACCUGCAUGUGCCACCCACCAUGACCCAUUUCUGACUAACAGUUUGAAACCUGACAAAGUGUACUGCAUUAAACUUAAAGGCAAAAAUGUCUAGCUUUAGAAAUAACAUCUGCUACGGUUCAUACAUGCCUUUUAUAAGUAGAAUAACAAAACAUAGUAUGUUAGUAACAUAUAAUUUUUUUUAAAUGUUGUGUUUUGAAUAGACCAUUAUGAGAGGACAGAAGACAAAAUAAAUUUAAAAGAAGGGACUCUGACAGUGAAGUAGAUCAGGGCCUUGCUCAGCAAUCAUUGGAGAAACUUCCUCCUGCAACAGAUGGGAAGAAAUAGAGAGACCCACAGCCAGACAUGCAGAUAGUGAGGGACCUUGGAACCCUUAGCACAGAACAGUGUGUCUUCAUCAAACCCCUCCCUCGGGGCUCAGGGAACCCCACUGAAGAGGAGGCAGAGAGUCAGAGCCAGAGCGAAUGUAGGACACAGAGAAAAGGAGGCCUUCUAAACCAACAUGAUCAAUGCACAUAUGAACUCACAGAGACUAAGGCAGCAUGCACAGGGCCUGCACAGGGCUGCACCAGGUCCUCUGCGCUUAGCUCACAGCUUCCAGUUUAAUGUUUUUAUGGGAUUCCUGAAUGUGCAAACAAACACAGGGCAGUUGUCAUCUGAACCUGCUCAACUCUGCAUUGUUCCUGCUGGAUCGGAUGCCUACCUGGAAUGUGAUAUUUGAGCAAAGCCCAUUGUGAAGGUUUCCUCUUCGUCUGUCCAUCUUCUGCUGAUUGAAAGUACAGCAGUGGCAGGUCGGCUCUCAGCCGCAUCAAGUAGACCCAGCUCUACAUUUUCAGGGAAAUUCUACUGUACAAAGAUGCCUUGUGUCCAUGGUAUUCUGAGAAAAUAAUGAAAAAAGAGGCCGUUUGAAUUUGGAAAAGAUGAAGGAUAAACAAAUGAGCAACAACGAAGCUUCACUUGAGAAAAAUCACAAGAAGUCAACAUAAGCCAGAGAAAACAGAAAAACAUGGACUCUAAGGACUUAGACGGUGGGGGCUGGAAAGAUGGCUCUGAGGUUAAGAGCACUUCUGCUGGCUGCUCUUCCAGAGGUCCUGAGUUCAAUUCCCAGCAACCACAUGGUGGCUCAGAACCAUCUAUAAUGAG